rnacentral:rRNA from 1 species
UACAGAGGUCUCAAGCGUUGUUCGGAUUCAUUGGGCGUAAAGGGUGCGUAGGUGGCGCGUUAAGUCAGGUGUGAAAUUUCGGAGCUUAACUCCGAAACUGCAUUUGAUACUGGCGUGCUUGAGGACUGGAGAGGAGACUGGAAUUCAUGGUGUAGCAGUGAAAUGCGUAGAGAUCAUGAGGAAGACCAGUGGCGAAGGCGGGUCUCUGGACAGUUCCUGACACUAAGGCACGAAGGCCAGGGGAGCAAACGGG